UGCCAGACUCCUACGGGAGGCAGCAGUGGGGGAUAUUGCACAAUGGGGGAAACCCUGAUGCAGCGACGCCGCGUGUGGGAAGACGGUCUUCUGGAUUGUAAACCACUGUCCCCAGGGACGAAAAUGACGGUACCUGGGGAGGAAGCUCCGGCUAACUACGUGCCAGCAGCCGCGGUAAUACGUAGGGGGCAAGCGUUAUCCGGAUUUACUGGGUGUAAAGGGAGCGUAGGCGGGUUAGCAAGUCAGAAGUGAAAGCCCGGGGCUCAACUCCGGGACUGCUUUUGAAGCUGUUGACCUAGAUUGCAGGAGAGGUAAGUGGAAUUCCUAGUGUAGCGGUGAAAUGCGUAGAUAUUAGGAGGAACACCAGUGGCGAAGGCGGCUUACUGGACUGUAAAUGACGCUGAGGCUCGAAAGCGUGGGGAGCAAACAGGAUUAGAUACCCGUGUAA
rnacentral:rRNA from 1 species